UUCUAGGGAUAGGAAUCGAACCUACAGUGUUCCGCCUACCCGGCAGAUGCCAUGUCCACUAGGCUACCCUGGA
rnacentral:tRNA from 1 species